rnacentral:rRNA from 1 species
GGCGCAGCCUGAUCUAGCCAUGCCGCGUGUGUGAUGAAGGUCUUAGGAUCGUAAAGCACUUUCGCCAGGGAUGAUAAUGACAGUACCUGGUAAAGAAACCCCGGCUAACUCCGUGCCAGCAGCCGCGGUAAUACGGAGGGGGUUAGCGUUGUUCGGAAUUACUGGGCGUAAAGCGUACGUAGGCGGAUUGGAAAGUUGGGGGUGAAAUCCCAGGGCUCAACCCUGGAACUGCCUCCAAAACUAUCAGUCUAGAGUUCGAGAGAGGUGAGUGGAAUUCCAAGUGUAGAGGUGAAAUUCGUAGAUAUUUGGAGGAACACCAGUGGCGAAGGCGGCUCACUGGCUCGAUACUGACGCUGAGGUACGAAAGUGUGGGGAGCAAACAGGAUUAGAUACCCUGGUAGUCCACACCGUAAACGAUGAAUGCCAGUCGUCGGGCAGUAUACUGUUCGGUGACACACCUAACGGAUUAAGCAUUCCGCCUGGGGAGUACGGUCGCAAGAUUAAAACUCAAA